rnacentral:rRNA from 1 species
UACAGAGGUCUCAAGCGUUGUUCGGAUUCAUUGGGCGUAAAGGGUGCGUAGGCGGCGCGGUAAGUCGGGUGUGAAAUCUCGGAGCUUAACUCGAAAUUGCAUUCGAUACUGCCGUGCUUGAGGACUGGAGAGGAGACUGGAAUUUACGGUGUAGCGGUGAAAUGCGUAGAUAUCGUAAGGAAGACCAGUGGCGAAGGCGGGUCUCUGGACAGUUCCUGACGCUGAGGCACGAAGGUCCAGGGGAGCAAACGGG